rnacentral:tRNA from 1 species
GCCUAGUUAGCUUGGAGGGUAGCGCGCCUGCCUUGUAACCGUUAGGUCGCGGGUUCAAUUCCCGCACGGGGCG